GCCGCAGUAGCCUGACUGUGCUAAGGUAGCAUAAUCAUUAGGUUCUUAAUUGGAAUCUGGUAUGAAUGGAUAAAUAGGGAAAAGCUGUCUUUACGGUAGUGUUUGAACUUAAAUUUUUAGUCAGAAUGCUAGAAUGGUUCUGUGGGACGAUAAGACCCUAUAAAGCUUUAUUGGUAGGCUUUAAGUAUCUUAGCUUAUCUUAAUGUAUAACCAAUUUAACUGGGGCGGUUAGUACCUUAACGUACUUGGAUACUAUCAUGGUAUUGAUCCAAUAUUAUUGAAUAAAGAAUAAGUUACUUUAGGGAUAACAGCAUGAUAUACCCUUGGAGUUCUAAUCGAAGGUUAUGUUUGUGACCUCGAUGUUGAAUUAAUUUGAUUAUGCGGUGAAGAAGCUGCAUGAGUUAGUCUGUUCGACUAUUGAAUGAUUACAUGAUUUGAGUUCAAACCGGUUUGAG
rnacentral:rRNA from 1 species